GUAGUAUGUGUGUGUGUAUUUGUGUGUGUGUAUGUGUGUGAGCACAUGCAUACACACACACAUACACUCAUAUGCAUAUGCAUC
rnacentral:miRNA from 1 species